GAAAGAAUUUCGGUGAAGGAUGGGCAUGCGUCGCAUUAGUUAGUUGGCGGUGUAACGGACCACCAAGACGACGAUGCGUAGGGGUUCUGAGAGGAAGGUCCCCCACACUGGUACUGAGACACGGACCAGACUCCUACGGGAGGCAGCAGUGAGGAAUAUUGGUCAAUGGCCGAGAGGCUGAACCAGCCAAGUCGCGUGAGGGAAGAAUGUCCUAUGGAUUGUAAACCUCUUUUGUCAGGGAGCAAAGUCACCCACGUGUGGGUGUUGGAGAGUACCUGAAGAAAAAGCAUCGGCUAACUCCGUGCCAGCAGCCGCGGUAAUACGGAGGAUGCGAGCGUUAUCCGGAUUUAUUGGGUUUAAAGGGUGCGUAGGCGGGUUAUCAAGUCAGCGGUAAAAUCGUGGAGCUCAACUCCAUCCAGCCGUUGAAACUGAUGAUCUUGAGUGGGCGAGAAGUAUGCGGAAUGCGUGGUGUAGCGGUGAAAUGCAUAGAUAUCACGCAGAACUCCGAUUGCGAAGGCAGCAUACCGGCGCCCGACUGACGCUGAAGCACGAAAGCGUGGGUAUCGAACAGGAUUAGAUACCCUGGUAGUCCACGCAGUAAACGAUGAAUACUAAUUGUGUGCUCCGAAUGAGGAGUGC
rnacentral:rRNA from 1 species